rnacentral:tRNA from 1 species
AGCCUUAUAUUCAAUUAUGAUAUAAAAUUGCAAAUUUUAAGGAGCAAAAAAUGCUAAGGCUU